rnacentral:rRNA from 1 species
AUUGAACGCUGGCGGCAGGCCUAACACAUGCAAGUCGAACGAGUGGCGGACGGGUGCGUAAUGUCUGGGACACUGCCUGAUGGAGGGGGAUAACUCCUGGAAACGGUAGCUAAUACCGCAUACCCUCAGAUGUGCCCCGAUGGGAUUAGCUAGUUGGUGGGGUAACGGCUCACCAAGGCGACGAUCCCUAGCUGGUCUGAGAGGAUGACCAGCCACACUGGAACUGAGACACGGUCCAGACGCCUACGGGAGGCAGCAGUGGGGAAUAUUGCACAAGGGGCGCAAGCCUGAUGCAGCCAUGCCGCGUGUAUGAAGAAGGCCUUCGGGUUGUAAAGUACUUUCAGCGGGGAGGCGUUACCCGCAGAAGAAGCACCGGCUAACUCCGUGCCAGCAGCCGCGGUAAUUC